GUUGCCAGCCGCUGGGGAGAAUGAGCUUGGAGCCGCAGGGCUUAAUCCCGCGCGGCUCAGAGAUGGGUUUCUGGACUCGCGAAGCAGCUGCAACAAGGCAUCACUCAUUGUACAAGUAUUUCCAUUUCUGAGAGCAAAAGGAAGAACUUAAGCUGGCGGCACUUGGAGUGUAAAUUGCUUUGUAGUAUUUAAAGGCAGAAUGGAUCCUGGGCAGCCGAGCUGCAACAAACCAGCAGGACUUCCUGUGAAAUCAUGACCCCCAUGUGCUCUUUCAGCCCCCAUCAAUUCAUACCUCUAAGCACCUGAGAGCCAAAGUAAACCACAGGAAACCACAGGUACUAACUCUUUUAGACCUGAUGAAGUGUCUCCCAAAGAAAGUCUGGCAUGACAGGCUUCCUUUGUAUAUCAUCUUGCAUGAUAAAGUGCAGAGAGCUCCCUCAGAGAAAUGCAGUUAAAAAGCCGAUAGAUACCACCAUACACCUAAAAGAACUGUGAACAGAUGACAGAAAAACAAAACAAAGCAAAACAGAACUUGAGAAUUUGAAUUGCUGGUGAGGAUAUUGAGCAAGUGGAACUCCUAUACUUUGCUGGAAGGAAUGGAAAGUGGUACAGGAAAUUUG
rnacentral:lncRNA from 10 species